GAUGAACGCUGGCGGUAUGCUUAACACAUGCAAGUCGAACGGUCCUUUUGGACAGUGGCGGACGGGUGAGUAACACGUGGGUUAUCAACGCUUAGGUGAGGCAUAUCAAAUGGAAACGUUUGUUAGUUCCUCAUAUGGCUAAUAAGUUAAAGUUUUUCGCCUAAGCACGAGCUUGCGUCUGAUUAGCUAGUUGGUAGGGUAAAAGCCUACCAAGGCCAUGAUCAGUAGCUGGUCUGAGAAGAUGGACAGCCACACUGGAAUUUAGAACGGAACAGACUCCUACGGGAGGCAGCAGUGGGGAAUAUUUGGCAAUGGGCGAAAGCUUGACCAAGCAAUACCGCGUGGAGGAUGAAGGCUUUAGGGUUGUAAACUCCUUUUCUGAUUGAGGAAAUUUUGACAGUAUUUCAGGAAUAAGCAUCGGCUAACUUCGUGCCAGCCGCCGCCGUAA
rnacentral:rRNA from 1 species